GGUGCUGCGACUGCCCGUGCACAAGUUCGGAAUACUAGGGUACCCCUACUCUAGUACACCGACAGUAUGUAACUGUAAUUAUAAUUUAGUAAUUAGUACAUAUCCUCGUACAUAAUUUCUGUUGUAUGGAUUAUUUACAGAAUGUGGAUCAUAGGGUUACCAUUUCAAACUUCAUCGAUCUCUCUUUUGAUUUUGUAGGGGUUAGAGCAUACGUUAUUUUCCAGGGUGCUGCAACUGCCCGUGCACAAGUUCGGGAUACUAGGAUACCCCUACUCUAGUACACCGACAAUAUGUAACUGUAAUUAUAAUUUAGUAAUUAGUACAUAUCCUCGUACAUAAUUUCUGUUGUAUGGAUUAUUUACAGAAUGUGGAUCAUAGAGUUACCAUUUCAAACUUCAUCGAUCUCUCUUUUGAUUUUGUAGGGGUUAGAGCAUACGUUAUUUUCUUCAGUGGACAUUCAACCCAACUUAAAAUAUUGUUCCUUCAACACUUCCGUAGCAUGCAUGAUCAAUCAGUGAAGAAAAUUACGAAGGUAGAUGUUAAUCUUAGAGGAUUAGAUGUGCCUUUACCUUCUCAACUUUCUCGGUCAAUUAAACAUCCCAAGCCCAUCAUCAGGCACAAUUUAUAGCAUAGUUUUGUGUGACGAAGCUGAGAUUAUUAUUUUUUGAGAUUGAAUCUAAACAUAAGUCUUGUGCCACAUAUUUGGUCUAUAAUCUUUGGGUUUCUUAAGAUUUCUCAUCCAAUGAGUAGUGAGGGGUCUCACCAUCUGGAGUACUGAUUCAUGAAUUUCCUGGACAAAAUCAUUCUACUGGGUUUAACCUUGUUGGUGUCGGGGCAUCAAUGCCAGGGUGGGGUGUGGCAGAGAAUAAUGGCUGGCUAAUGGAGAAUGGUUGGAUCUGAGGCACAUGACAAAGAGGGCACUGCGUCUAUGGUCCAUGAGAGGCAUGGGUAACGGAGGCAGAUUCAUAUGAGGAGAUCAUGGGAUAAAUAAAUAACAGCAAAAUGUGAGCAGCGUGUGCAGGCGGCCUCUGAGUUGUUGCCCUCAUUGCUAGUGAUGCUGGAUUCCUACCAAAUGUAAGUGCUGAUGAUAAGCAUCAUUCCUAAUGCAUAUUAUGCCUUGUAAUUCCUCCAUGUAGCAAUGUAAAGUAUUUAUUAUUUGUUGUUACCAUGUCCUAGCAAAAAGGCAUUAAUUUGUUAAUUUUAAUUUGGUUCAUAUGUGUCAGUCGACAUACAAUGUUUUUGUAUAUGUGUUGUAGGUGGUGCAUAUGAUAUUGAAGAUCUAUACGUGAUUACUGGAAAGGUUGUGUGAGAUAUACAUGGUUUAAUACCCAGAACAAUAAACUGACAAAAGUGCAUGUCUUUCAAAAAAUUACAAUGUGAACUACUUUUGAUAGUGCUAACAUUCACACCCUUGUAAUCAACUCCCUCCAUCCCAUACUAUAAGAUCAUUUUGCAAGCUAUUUUAGCCUAUAAAAUGAUCUUAUAUUACGGGAUGGAGGGAGUAAUAAAAUAUCCUUCUUGCCAUGGACAUUCUCAAGCAGUGUUACUAUAUCUUCGUAAAUAUCCUUCUUAUCAUGGACGUUGUCAAGUAGUGCUGAUGUAUCUUUGUAAAUACAUAUAGUCUGCCUUAUUAUUAAAUGAUAAGCUACUAAUGUACUAAUUUUCUAUUUAACUUCCUCAUCCUCCUUGUUUUUGUUUCGCCUACUCGUAUAUUGGAACUUACCUGGAACCUCUUCAUUGUGGUAAAGUAAAUAUAAAUUUUAAAAACAUAUUUCUAGAAAUCUAGAAGUGUAUAUAAUGAUAAAAUUAAUCACCUUUAUAUCUGGAAUGUUUUGCUUGUUUAUUUAAUGAUUUAACACGGUGUCCGCCUCAUCAUCCGUCAAUUCCAAUAUAUGUAAGAUGAAUUAUAUAGGGAAUUCUAUAAUUAAAUGCACCUUUACCUCCUCAGCUUUACCGUGCAAGUAGAGUAUCUCUAGCCUACCGUCAUGCAUAAUUGUUCUUCUAAUUGCCAAAAGGUUAUAUUACUAUCAUCGAGCUUUAACCCAAAUAUAUGUCUCCUAGCAAAAAGUUGUAUCAUCCAACACUUCAUCAGAUUUCCCAUCGACUGAGUUCAGUAAGCUAGAUGUACUAAGCAAUAUUGCAGCCUCCUCGUUAUAUAAAUUGCAGUUUGUAGUAGCUAUGUUGUCACUGAUUUGGAGUCGAGUACGGUACCUACUGUACCAUUCAUAUUAGUCAAGAGUAAGUAUAAUAUAAUAGUUGUCCAUAUGAGUGAUAUGCUUACCUUGGUGUUACCCUUUUUUGAUAUAUACCACAACUCUUGCAAUAGUAUGUGUCAGUUUUCUUGGUAGCAAGUUUGUGACAAUCAUCACAUCACAUGUACCACCAUUAAAUAUCUUCUUGUAACUGAUCUAUUAUAGCUAUUGUUGUGAACACAAAAAUCUAAAUAUCUUAAAACCUCAAGAAAUUGAAAGACACAAAUAAUUCAACUAAAUCUCAUUAUAACUAAUAUUACAGGUCUCAGAGACUCGUUAUCCAGGAAGAGUGAUGAUAGCAUACAUUGGAACUCGUACCUGAUUUCUCCGGAUUCAUGUAUCACUCUAGUAAGUUCUUGUAAUGUUCUCUGCCUAUAAAACAUUUGUUCUUCUAGUGUUCCUUGAGUACUAUAUCUAUGCUGACCUUUUUAGUGAAAUUAUUUCUGCCGAGUGCCUAUGUGGAUUAAAUAAGAAUGGUUGAUCUUUGCUUCAGCUUGACUUUGAUGCAAGUACACUUAAGUUUUUAUCACAAUCAUUAUAAAUAUAAUAAGAGGUGCAGAUAUUUUUGUUGGCAUUGAAGGAUGUCAUGGAUCGGUUGCCUUCCUGGACCUCACAAUGUUGUUGCCUUCAAAACUAUCUUAAAAAGUAUUUGUUUACAGUGUAUGUAUGAAAGCUUAUUACAAAUUUAGACAUUUUUGUAGGAGAUUAGAAAUAGAAAUGAAGACUUGUUCAGAUGGAAACAUCUAAACACACAUGAGUCAGCAAAGAUAUUACCUAAAUUAAUUUGAUGGCUUGUUGUCUGCCUUCUUUUGAUGCUGGGUGCCAAGACGGCAAGACGUCACAGGAGCGUACUGGAUGCAUCGUGUCUUUGAUCCUCCGGCAUGACGGAAAGCAUACUGGAUAGCCUGCAGUCAUGGUUUCGAUCUACCGGGCGUUCGAGCAUAGCUUGUGUGUUCAAACCCAUCAUGUUUCAGCGCAUGCAUUGGGUGUUUUCUCUCCUUCAUGUGUUACGACAUCCUUGUAUAAUUGUGUUUGUAGAUGCCUAUGCUUGAAAGAAAUCAAUCAAGCCAUAUGAAAAUCAAGUAGAAAAUAAUUGACCAGAUUGUACUUUGCCUUUGAUAGACGUGCACGUGACGGACUUGUAUACAUCUAUCUAGGCAGGUUGACUGGUUCUAGUACAUGGAUGCCUAUAUGACGAUGAGUCCUGGCUUGCAUUGUAGUAGUAUACUUCUUGGGUCGCGCUAACUGUCACACGUGUGGUAGGAAGGGAGACGCACCACACAUCUCUAAUGUAAACAGAUUGCCAC
rnacentral:lncRNA from 1 species